rnacentral:rRNA from 1 species
UACGGAGGGUGCAAGCGUUAAUCGGAAUUACUGGGCGUAAAGCGCACGCAGGCGGUCUGUCAAGUCGGAUGUGAAAUCCCCGGGCUCAACCUGGGAACUGCAUUCGAAACUGGCAGGCUAGAGUCUUGUAGAGGGGGGUAGAAUUCCAGGUGUAGCGGUGAAAUGCGUAGAGAUCUGGAGGAAUACCGGUGGCGAAGGCGGCUCUCUGGACUGUAACUGACGCUGAGGCGCGAAAGCGUGGGGAGCAAACAGG